rnacentral:rRNA from 1 species
GCAAGUCGAGGGGUAACAUUGGUGCUUGCAUCAGAUGACGACCGGCGAACGGGUGCGUAACGCGUAUAGAAUCUGCCUUUUACAGGAGGAUAGCCAGUAGAAAUGAAGAUUAAUACUCCAUAAUAUUGGGAAGUGGCAUCACUAUCUAAUUAAACAUUUAUGGGUACAAGAUGACUAUGCGUCAUAGUAGCUAGAUGGUAAGGUAACGGCUUACCAUGGCAACGAUAGGUAGGGGGUCUGAGAGGAGUAGC